GACGAACGCUGGCGGCGUGCUUAACACAUGCAAGUCGAACGCUGAAGCUCAGCUUUUGUUGGGUGGAUGAGUGGCGAACGGGUGAGUAACACGUGAGUAACCUGCCCCCUUCUUUGGGAUAACGCCCGGAAACGGGUGCUAAUACUGGAUAUUCACUGGUCUUCGCAUGGGGGUUGGUGGAAAGGGUUUUUCUGGUGGGGGAUGGGCUCGCGGCCUAUCAGCUUGUUGGUGGGGUGAUGGCCUACCAAGGCUUUGACGGGUAGCCGGCCUGAGAGGGUGACCGGUCACAUUGGGACUGAGAUACGGCCCAGACUACUACGGGAGGCAGCAGUGGGGAAUAUUGUACAAUGGGCGCAAGCCUGAUGCAGCGACGCCGCGUGAGGGAUGGAGGCCUUCGGGUUGUGAACCUCUUUCGCUCAUGGUCAAGCCGCAACAAUGGUUGUGGUGAGGGUAGUGGGUAAAGAAGCGCCGGCUAACUACGUG
rnacentral:rRNA from 1 species